CGCGCAGACACGCGUACCUUCGUCUAAAUUAAAGCUUUGCUUGUCAUCAACGGGUGAGAACGAAACGUUUUUACGGCUCCUAUUCCGUCAUAAAAGAAGAAUCCAAUUAAUCCCUUUGAAGUUUACGACGAAAUUACGUUGUCUGUUGUACACAAUACACUCGUAUAUAUACAUAUAAUGUGUAUUCGCUUAUCAACGUUUCAUUCAAGGAAUACCAAACCCGAUUUUGUACGAAAGUACUCAGCAAAAGUAAGACGACCAUGAUAAGAUACACUUUCAGGUAGGAGUUUUAAGAUAUACUUACAGAACGUAAAGCUUUAUACAAUCUAGAAACCAAAUAUAAUUCAACACGUACAGUGAAGUAACUCAAUUUUAAAAUGUGUACGAACACUUAUGGAUUUCACUAUACCUUCUGCUCUCAAAGUAGAUCUCGGUUUAGAUGAAGAUGUAAGUGUGCGUAAAAAAUAUUAAAGUCAGUAAUGAGUCAGUUCCUCAUCAAAAUAACAAUGCAUAGGCUACGGUGGGCGCCGGUAUCGUCGUUGCAUAGCUAAGCACCAACAUACGUUUGCCAGCUGGAAACAGCCGUUUGCAACUCGACAAAGAGGUAUUGUUCAGUUGAGGGAUCCAUCUACCGCUUGCCUUAGUGCCUCUACUAUUUACACGGCCUAACUCAACAUUAUGUCGCAAACUUUACACCCGGCUCCUCCGGACGUCGAAUAUCCCUCUCGAAACGCGACUUCUGUUUAGUUUUGACAAGCGUUACCUACUCCGGUCCAUUAUCAAGCGAAAAUAGAGACGGUUCAUUUGAAUUUGUUCCAAGCUGCAUGAUUAUAAAUAUUGAAUUCCUUCAAUCCAACAUUUUCUUAAAUAAAUAUGUGACAAUAUAAAUGAAAGGGAAUAUCGAGAACUUCUAUAAAUGGCCUUUAAACCAUGAAUUAAAACAAUUAAAAUCGUCCAGUUAUGUAAAUUAGGUGUCGCAUUAAGAAAUAAUAAAUUGAAUGACGUUUUCUCAAAAUGUCUAAAUGAAUCUUAUUAUUUAAUGAUUUACGAGGCGAAGAUGAUCCAAGGUAUACAUGUUUCAACGACAAUAUCACGAUUAAUCAUUUCGAGAGCAACGGAGAUGUAACGUUUUUCGAAGUUACUUUAACGACGUCUACGGAGACGUCUAAACUCGGAUCAAUAAGGAGCCAAGUGGCUUCUAACUCGCAGGUAACUGCAUAUGCCUAGGAAAGCGAGGUACCAAGGGGAAUUUUCAACUCACGAAGUUUGCGAUACCCAUGCUAAGCUGCUGAAGGCAUAUUUGGUUCAACUUGCAACAGUACUGAGCUUCUUUUUUCACCUGAAGUUUUACUGCGAAUGUACAAUUCGUUGGAAAAGCUUCAACGGGAACAGCAUUUAAAAAUUUGAAAGUCUACAAAAUCCAUAAAAUGAACGGCACGAACAAUUUUUCUUCAGACGUUGGAUUUACAUAAGGCGUCUUCACUCACGGAGUCGUCGGUGCAACGAGAAAUAGUCGUAGGUUAACAAACAGAGAAAUGAAAAGUCAUGAGAACGAUAUUAGCAUUGCAAAUUGUCAAGGGCGCCACGCCGCCCGCGGCGUCGUUAUAGUUCUUUUGUUCAUUAGUGCAAAUCAUCCUCACACGACAGAUAGAUGUUUCCAUGUCAUUCUAAUCGUUUUUUAAAUGAAAAUUUCUUUUCUUUACAUUAUAAAAAUUUAAAUUAUAAGUCUUAUUCUAAUUUAUACAAUGUUUUUCACUUGAAUAGAUUCGCAUAAAAAAUGUACAGUUACUUCAAAGGAAGGAAUUGUGGUUACAAUUCCUGCUUAAUAAUUAGAUUUAUUUGAAAUAAUGCUUUGCGAUAGAUUAGAGAAAUAUUUUUAACAAUUCUACGUAUAAUCAUUUUACAUUUCUAAUUUAUUUUAUUCAUGUGAUAUACACUUCGCUAGGAAAAACUAGUCUGAGCUAUUCGAGAUUAGUCGAGUUAACAGUACUGUACAAUUAAUAUUCUCUUAUUGCGUAUAUUUUAAUUGUUUGUUGUUGAUGUGAAUGACUUAAAAGAAUAAGAUUAUUCGACACUUACGUAUCAUCUAACAACAGCCACGAAAAACCAUUGCUAUAAUGAUAAAAUAUGAAUUUUUGGACCAGUCUAGAUUAGUCAUUGAUUAAUUAAUUGAUUAUAAAAAGCAGCUAUCAAUGGAAUGCGAUCAACAUUCAUUCGAAUAAAAUUAAAUUGGGAUUAUGGCAAAACUUUGAAGUCUAAUGAUGAACAGGAGGAAGGGAGAUAUUGGGUGACUAGGUCAGGCUAUGAUCGAAUAACAUACGGGCAACGGAACCAACGCAGACAUCGUCGUUGAAUACCUCCUUUAACACGGUUGCACAGGUGCGCCACGUCAUUCAUCGGCCCGAUACGCCCGACCGUUAUUAGCAAAAUUGCGUGAACUAAUUGGCUAAUUAGCGAUUAGGAACGUACGUACCGACAAUUUGUUCCGAUGUGUUAAUGAGUUAUUGUUAUCGGUUUGCUACGGACGGUACAAUUAUACUUGGUCGAAAGUCUAAUCGAAACUCAUCACUCGAGAUGGAGAAAAAUAGUAGAAUCAUGGAUAAAUAAAAAAAUCUAUUUGUUUAUGAUCAUCCAGUCGAGUAGAAUAAAUAUUUGGUUAGCAACUAAA